AUGUUAGGAUCGGCUGGCUCAUCCUCAUCAUCCGAAAAGAAAACAGAGACAAAACAGAUUUGUUUCAAUGAAAUAUCUAAUCAGACUGAAAUUGAUGUCGAAGACACGAUCAUUCACAUCAAUUGAAGCAGGCAGGAAGGGCGCAGAAGCUACCGUUUAACGAAUGCAAUGCAAGCAAGGUAG
rnacentral:rRNA from 1 species